rnacentral:rRNA from 1 species
GUUAAAAUGGUUAUUAUUAUUAAUAUUUGAUUUUAAUUAAAAUAAAUAUUUUAUUUUGUUGUUUAUUAAUUAGAUAAAAUUAAUUUUAUUAUAGGAUAAUAGUACUGUGAAGGAACCAAAUAAAUUUUUAUAAGAAAAAUUUAAUUUUUGUACCUUGUGUAUCAGGGUUUAUUAAUAUAUUUUAAUUAUUUAAAGUUCUCGAAUUCAAAAGAGUUAAUUUAAUUUAAAUUUUAGUGUAAAAUAAUUAUUUUUAAAAUUAAGUUAGGAAUGAAAUGUUAUUCGUUUUUGAAGAUAUCUAGUUUUUUAAGAAAGAAAUUUAAUUUCUAUUUUUUUUAGCAAAUAAUUUAGUGAUUAAUUAUUUGUUUGGAAAUUUUUAUUGAUCAGGGGAUUAGCUUUGAACAAGAUUUUUAUAAAUUGAUUAGUUAAAUUAGUCUUUAGGAUUAUAAGUUUCUAUUUAUAGGGUAAUGUUAUAAUACACUAAUAUAUUAAAGUAAUUUUUAAAAUUUUAAUAGUUUAUUAAAAUUUUUAAUUUAAUUAUUAAAUUAAAGCAAUAAUGAUAAAAUUAGUAUAUUUUAUUUAAAUUAGUUUGUUUUAUUAAGAUUUAAUAAAGGAAUUCGGCAAAAAAUUUUUCACCUGUUUAUUAAAAACAUGUCCUUUAGCUAAAAUUUAAAGGUUUAGCCUGCCCACUGAUGAAUUAAAUGGCCGCGGUAUUUUGACCGUGCAAAGGUAGCAUAAUCAAUAGUUUUUUAAUUGAAAGCUGGAAUGAAAGGUUGGAUGAGAAAAUAACUGUCUCUAUUAAAUAAAUAUAGAAUUUAAUUUUUGAGUCAAAAAGCUUAAAUUUAUUUAAAAGACGAGAAGACCCUAUAGAGUUUAAUAUAAAAAUUUUAUUGAUUAAUUAGAAUUUUGUUGUUAAUAGGUGUAUAUAUUUGAUUGGGGUGAUUGAAAAAUUUAAUAAACUUUUUUUUAAUUAAUACAUUGAUUUAUGAUUGAUUGAUCCAUACUAGUGAUUGAAAGAUUAAAUUACCUUAGGGAUAACAGCGUAAUUAUUUUUGAGAGUCCAAAUUGAAAAAAUAGAUUGCGACCUCGAUGUUGGAUUAAAAUUAAUUUAUAGUGCAGAAGCUAUAAAGGGGGGUCUGUUCGACCUUUAAAAUUUUACAUGAUCUGAGUUUAGACCGGCGUGAGCCAGGUUGGUUUCUAUCUUUAGUAAGAAUUAAAUUUUUAGUACGAAAGGACCAAAAUUU